CCUACGGGAGGCAGCAGUGGGGAAUAUUGGGCAAUGGGCGCAAGCCUGACCCAGCAAAGCCGCGUGAAGGAAGAAGGCUUUCGGGUUGUAAACUUCUUUUGACAGGGAAGAGCAGAAGACGGUACCUGUCGAAUAAGCCACGGCUAACUACGUGCCAGCAGCCGCGGUAUUACGUAGGGGGCAAGGUUUGUCCGGAUUUACUGGGGGUAAAGGGAGUGUAGGCGGGCUGAAAAGUCAGAGGUAAAAUCCGGGGGCUCAACCCCGAACGGCAUUUGAAACUGUUGGUCUUGAGUAACGGAGAGGCAGGCGGAAUUCGUAGUGUAGCGGUGAAAUGCGUAGAUAUUAGGAGGAACACCAGUGGCGAAGGCGGCCUGCUGGACGACAACUGACGGUGAGGCGCGAAAGCGUGGGGAGCAAACAGGAUUAGAUACCCGAGUAGUC
rnacentral:rRNA from 1 species